AGAUUGAACGCUGGCGGCAGGCCUAACACAUGCAAGUCGAGCGGUAGAGAGGUGCUUGCAUCUCUUGAGAGCGGCGGACGGGUGAGUAAUGCCUAGGAAUCUGCCUAGUGGUGGGGGAUAACGUUCGGAAACGGACGCUAAUACCGCAUACGUCCUACGGGAGAAAGCGGGGGACCUUCGGGCCUCGCGCCAUUAGAUGAGCCUAGGUCGGAUUAGCUAGUUGGUGAGGUAAUGGCUCACCAAGGCGACGAUCCGUAACUGGUCUGAGAGGAUGAUCAGUCACACUGGAACUGAGACACGGUCCAGACUCCUACGGGAGCAGCA
rnacentral:rRNA from 1 species